CAGUAAUGAAAGGAAGAUGGCUACAUCCAUGACACAACACAUAUGAUGCAAAGGCAUAUUCGCAAGAACAACAAACACUUUCAAGAAUAACAAGGUCACCCUUAGGAGGAGAGCCAGGAAGGCAAACAAACCCGUCAGUAGGUUCUCCACUUUCUAAGAUGGCCAAGAAACACCAGAUGGAAGUCUUAUAGAAACAACAUGGCUCCUUUUCCAGCAAAACAAAAUUCCACUGAGUGUGCUACUGGCUUUUGGAUAAUUUUUGCAAUAGGAACAAAAAUAGAAAGAGAAGACCUUCUUUCUUCAAUCAUAA